rnacentral:rRNA from 1 species
UACGUAGGGUGCGAGCGUUGUCCGGAAUUAUUGGGCGUAAAGGGCUCGUAGGCGGUUUGUCGCGUCGGGAGUGAAACACCGGGCUUAACUCGGUGCUUGCUUUCGAUACGGGCAGACUAGAGGCAUGCAGGGGAGAACGGAAUUCCUGGUGUAGCGGUGAAAUGCGCAGAUAUCAGGAGGAACACCGGUGGCGAAGGCGGUUCUCUGGGCAUGUCCUGACGCUGGAGGAGCGAAAGCGUGGGGAGCGAACAGG